ACCAUCCUUUUCUUGGGGUUGUGCUACUGUCCAAUGAACAUCUAGUGCAGGCAGCACUGCUAAUGCCUAAAAUAAAUAAAUAAUAAAUAAAUGCUUAAAGAUGGUCCAGUGGAACAUCUCAUUUGAAGGGUUAUUAGAGGAGGAGAAAACUCAAUAAAGAAGAAAUCUUUGGAGAA